AACCCACACGGGGAGCAGACCUCUCCUGUCUCCCCGCUGCUCCCCUCAGCAGUGUAGUUCAGUACAUCUGCCUGUUCUGCUCCCCGCUGUCUCUAGUGAAUCCUCACCCUCCCGCACCUCUGGCCUGUACCCCAGCUCUUGUAUAAAAAUAAAAUCUUUAAAAAAAUAAAAGUGGAGGCGCAGACUAGAAGUGGGAUUUUGAGAUUGAGGCCUAUUGUAGAGAAUCACAGUCUUUAACAAAUCAACCAAGUCACACUCUAGAAGUAACUGAAUUAACGGCAGUUAACAACUUCACAAAGGAGUGAACCCCUCCCCCAAAGAACAACAGUUUAUCGAUGUAAUUUCCGCCUUGGCAAGAAAGCAGCUCUCCUGCCAGCCCGUGGCUCUGCAGUGUCCCAGGCCUAAUCGCUCACCCCCCGCUUCCUCCCUGUGUCCCCAGUGAGCAGGAUCUCCCUUCACCUGCAGGGACAGGCCACUGAAAACUGGUGGACAGUGACCUCAGAACGCCCACAAAACAGGAUGGGGGCGGGGCUGCACAUGCGCAGAAGAAUCCAGACGCCCCUUCCGAGAGUCUGGGUGGAGCUGGGCGGCCUCCUGAGGCUACGUUUCCCACAGCCCUCGUGUUGCCUGCUGCUGGGAAGAAGGAGUUCCUCCCAGGACACAGUAUGUGGAGAAAUCACACCUGCAGUGGAGAAUAGUCUGUCAGUCACUGGAAGAGGGUAUUCAUCUGCUCCCACUACAGCCACAGGCAGAAGGACCUGGGACACAGAUGUCCUUUGUCACAGGAGAGAUUCAGUUCAUCCAACACCGCAUUCGAGAGAGAACCCGCACUACCUUCAUUCAACUUGGGCUACACCCCUAAUCAUGCCUCCCAACCAGCGAACCUGGCCGUUGACCUUACUUCUUGACCUCACCUCCCCACACUGCCCCACAUCAACAGGAAGUAGCCAGAAAACAUACUUUGCCCUUUAUCCUAUAACUAAGAGGUCAAAAUGUAAGGUUGAGGCCGGGGCAGAGACGGAGUUCAGAGUGGGAGAACUUGAAACUGCUGCCACCUGCAUUCCAGGAGCUGGUUCUGCCCAUCUUUGCAGGAGAGCCUGAUAAGCAGCGUUGAAAAAACAACCAGUUCCGAGAGAAAAAAACUUGGAAAAGCAACUUCAAAUCAGCAUUCUCCACCUCCCUCCAAGGCCAGACCCUGCCCUAUAAAAGCUUGCCUUUAUCCCCCAGUGGGUGCGAAUUCUCUGACCCUGCGGGGGUCGGUGAACUUAGUCCUGGGCACAAUAAAUUUCUUGCCUGUGAGAAACUUAGCCUGGCUCUCCUUUUCUUUACUGCACCAAUCCUCUCACCCACAAUC